rnacentral:lncRNA from 1 species
CCUUGAAUCCUGUGCACGACCGCCCUCAGAUAUUCUGGCAUUUAAUGCGUGCAUGCUGGGGUCUUUUCAAAUCGGGGCGAUCCGAAGGGACCUUUCGGAAUUCCCGCUGGGGCGUUGCCCCAAGUAUGGCGUAGUAAUGGCUUUGUCAGCUGUCAGCCACUUUUAGCCGCCUGCUAUGGCGAGUGGGACACGUGGCGAACAUGGGUCGGCCUGGG